ACUGAGAAGUGGUUCAGAGAGCAGGAGGGCUGGAAAGUCUCCUUGGUUCUGAAACUCGACUGAGCAUCUGAAUCACCUGGGAAGUUAGUAAGAUACAGAUUCCCGGGCCCCACCCCGCUUUGGGUCGGUUGCUUCUAAGUUAUGCAGAUUCUCCCCUGCCCCACAAAAGAACUCACUGCAUUUGACGUGAGGCCUAUUUUCUAGAGGGAAGAGGAGAUUCUGAUCCUGUCUCCCUGGAGAUGUUUCCCCAGGACAUCAGGACAGUGAGUGGGAGACUGCUUGAGGUAACCAAGAUACGAAGAUGGAACAAUUUAAAAGAAAGAAUGGAUAUCCUACGUUAACAGGAAGUGCUCAGGAAGAAGGUAGGCUGAAUUUAGAACGGGUGGGCUGGUGUCCUAAGGAAUUUAAAGUCAAGAGGUAGAACAAAGGAUGGUGUGUAUCAGCCUGUUCCCCAGGACAGGGAGGGACAUCCAUCCACAGAGUGGGGUCAGUGAGACUUCUGAGUAUUGAGAUUCUCACAGUGGGCAAAACUCCGUGGUGAGUUUGCUUAUCUGGGAAAGGCAAAACUCAGAGUCCUAAUUCAGGAGACCGCAGAAUGAUUUCAGUAGGAGGAAGUGGUGGGAAAAGGGAAGGGGCCAUGAGCCAAAGAUGGAUGACCAUCUGCCAGGUGCUAUCCCAGUGGCAUUCAUCUUCCCUGGCAGUGUGAGUAGAGAGAGUAAAUCCAAAACAUAUUCUGUAAUGUCCCUUCUCUUCCACCCAGAAUACAAUAAAAAUUUUUUCUUCUUUUUCUAUGAGGCUGGUCAGCAAUGGACUGUAUGGG